rnacentral:rRNA from 1 species
GACGAACGCUGGCGGCGUGCCUAAUACAUGAAAGUAGAACGCUGAAGGAGGAGCUUGCUCUUCUGGAUGAGUUGCGAACGGGUGAGUAACGCGUAGGUAACCUGCCUGGUAGCGGGGGAUAACUAUUGGAAACGAUAGCUAAUACCGCAUAAGAGUAGAUGUUGCAUGACAUUUACUUAAAAGGUGCAAUUGCAUCACUACCAGAUGGACCUGCGUUGUAUUAGCUAGUUGGUGGGGUAACGGCUUACCAAGGCGACGAUACAUAGCCGACCUGAGAGGGUGAUCGGCCACACUGGGACUGAGACACGGCCCAGACUCCUACGGGAGGCAGCAGUAGGGAAUCUUCGGCAAUGGACGGAAGUCUGACCGAGCAACGCCGCGUGAGUGAAGAAGGUUUUCGGAUCGUAAAGCUCUGUUGUAAGAGAAGAACGAGUGUGAGAGUGGAAAGUUCACACUGUGACGGUAUCUUACCAGAAAGGGACGGCUAACUACGUG